AAACCAUGAUGUGGGCAUGAACUAACAAGAUCCUUGAACCGCUCCCAACAUUAGAAGAAUAUUUCAUCCUCAUUCUGGGCAAAGUUCAUGAUUCACAUUCUAGGGGAGUUU